rnacentral:rRNA from 1 species
UACAGAGGUCUCAAGCGUUGUUCGGAUUCAUUGGGCGUAAAGGGUGUGUAGGUGGCGCGCUAAGUCGGGUGUGAAAUUUCGGAGCUUAACUCCGAAACUGCAUUCGAUACUGGCGUGCUUGAGGACUGGAGAGGAGACUGGAAUUCAUGGUGUAGCAGUGAAAUGCGUAGAUAUCGUAAGGAAGACCAGUGGCGAAGGCGAAUCUCUGGACAGUUACUGACACUGAGGCACGAAGGCCAGGGGAGCAAACGGG